rnacentral:rRNA from 1 species
GAUGAACGCUAGCGGCAGGCUUAACACAUGCAAGUCGAGGGGCAGCACGUCUUCGGAUGGUGGCGACCGGCGCACGGGUGAGUAACGCGUAUGCAAUCUACCUUUUACAGGGGCAUAGCCCGGGGAAACCCGGAUUAAUAUCCUAUAGUACCAUUAUAUAGCAUUAUAUUAUGGUUAAAGUUUCGGCGGUAAAAGAUGAGCAUGCGUCCUAUUAGCUUGAUGGUAAGGUAACGGCUUACCAUGGCUAUGAUAGGUAGGGGUCCUGAGAGGGAGACCCCCCACACUGGUACUGAGACACGGACCAGACUCCUAUGGGAGGCAGCAGUGAGGAAUAUUGGACAAUGGGCGGCAAGCCUGAUCCAGCCAUGCCGCGUGCAGGAAGACUGCCCUAUGGGUUGUAAACUGCUUUUGUAUGGGAGCAAUAAGCCCUUCGUGAAGGGUGAUGAGAGUACCAUACGAAUAAGCAUCGGCUAACUCCGUGCCAG